AUUGAACGCUGGCGGCAGGCCUAACACAUGCAAGUCGAACGAGUGGCGGACGGGUGAGUAAUGUCUGGGCAACUGCCUGAUGGAGGGGGAUAACUACUGGAAACGGUAGCUAAUACCGCAUACCAUCGGAUGUGCCCAGAUGGGAUUAGCUAGUAGGUGGGGUAAAGGCUCACCUAGGCGACGAUCCCUAGCUGGUCUGAGAGGAUGACCAGCCACACAGGAACUGAGACACGGUCCAGACUCCGACGUGAGGCAGCAGUGGGGAAUAAUGAACAAAGGGCGCAAGCCUGAUGCCGCCAUGCCGCGUGUAGGAAGAAGGCUCUCGGGUUGUAAAGUACUUCCAGCGGGGAUGCGUUACCCGCAGAAGAAGCACCGACUAACACCGUGCCAGCAGCCGCGGUAAUAC
rnacentral:rRNA from 1 species